CGGGGCCAUCGGGGCCAUCGGCGAGGCUUCCUCGUCGCCCGUGGACACCAAAGAGGUCCAGGAGCUGCCCGAGGGGCUGUUCGUCCCUGGGAUCGGGAAGCUCCUUGGAGUCCCCUAAUAAAUCUGGACUGAGACCCCCUAACAGAAGUCGACUCCUUCUUCUGUUACCGCCGUUCAAGUCUUGCCUACGGCUACGGGCCGGACCCAAAGCCGCCCUCCUAAUCUCCCGGGGAACUGGAAGGUGGCCCUCGCUGCUUGCUGUGUCUAGGCAAGCCGGGCAAACGCUGAGCAAUCGGUGGGGAAGACACCGCAGCACGGGAGGACGAACCUCUGCAGCGUGGAACGCGCUCACGGAAUGAGUAAGAUACGCAAGAAAUUCUUCACAUACAGAUAACAGCAACAAGACACCAAAAAUUGCAAGAGAAAAAUUAUUGCCUCUGUAUCGGGACUGUUCAGACUUCUUCCAGACUUCUAGGAGCCAAGAAAUUGACUUACAAGAUGAAGGAGAGGGGCAGAAGUUAAGCAGAGCACAUCUUUGUUUGAAAAGAAUGUUUGAAUCAUGUAUGAGGUGUAUGAAUAUGCAACAGGCUAUUGCUUUUAAGGGUUAAUCCUUUGCUAGCAAGGUGUGUUUUGGGGCAUAGCAAAGCACCCAGACGUCCAUAAUUCUUUGCUUUUUAUUGUCCUAACUUUGAUUGUCCAAAUUGUUAUUGCUCGAAUUUUUAUUACUAUUUUUAUAACUAUUUUAUUGCUAUUAAACGUUUAAAAUUUUAAAAACAG